CCUACGGGGUGCCGCAGUGGGGAAUAUUGCACAAUGGGGGAAACCCUGAUGCAGCGACGCCGCGUGAGUGAAGAAGUAAUUCGUUACGUAAAGCUCUAUCAGCAGGGAAGAAACACUGACCUUACGGUCAGCAGACGGUACCUGAGUAAGCAGCCCCGGCUAACUACGUGCCAGCAGCCGCGGUAAUACGUAGGGGGCAAGCGUUAUCCGGAUUUACUGGGUGGAAAGGGAGCGUAGACGGUGCGCCAAGUCUGGAGUGAAAUGCCGCAGCUUAACUGCGGAACUGCUUUGGAAACUGGCGAACUAGAGUGCGGGAGGGGUAAGCGGAAUUCCUAGUGUAGCGGUGAAAUGCGUAGAUAUUAGGAGGAACACCGGUGGCGAAGGCGGCUUACUGGACCGUAACUGACGUUGAGGCUCGAAAGCGUGGGGAGCAAACAGGAUUAGAUACCCGAGUAGUC
rnacentral:rRNA from 1 species